GCGUCGGUGGUGCAACGGCUAGCAUGCUCUCCCGGAAAGAGUGAAAUCUUGGUUCGAUUCCUGGCGGACGCA